GGCCAAGUGUGUCGAAGUAAAACUUAUUAAUAUGUGCAGUUUUUGGAAGUUUCAUUAUACAUUGAAACAUUGAAACAUACAUUACGGUAUAUUGAAGAAGAUGUCGAGAUUGUUAUGGACAUAUAUGUAUGAGUUUGGUUAAACAUGUUUUGCUAUCGCUCAACCAUUCCUAUAACCUUUCUUUAGUAGUGCACCAGCACAACAUAUUGUAAAAAUA
rnacentral:lncRNA from 1 species